GAUGAACGCUGGCGGCGUGCUUAACACAUGCAAGUCGAGCGAGUGAGUUCUUCGGAACGAUCUAGCGGCGGACGGGUGAGUAACACGUGGGCAACCUGCCUCAUAGAGGGGAAUAGCCUCCCGAAAGGGAGAUUAAUACCGCAUAAAAUUAUCGAGUGGCAUCACAUGAUAAUCAAAGGAGUAAUCCGCUAUGAGAUGGGCCCGCGGCGCAUUAGCUAGUUGGUGAGGUAACGGCUCACCAAGGCGACGAUGCGUAGCCGACCUGAGAGGGUGAUCGGCCACAUUGGGACUGAGACACGGCCCAGACUCCUACGGGAGGCAGCAGUGGGGAAUAUUGCACAAUGGGGGAAACCCUGAUGCAGCAACGCCGCGUGAGUGAUGAAGGUCUUCGGAUUGUAAAGCUCUGUCUUUGGGGACGAUAAUGACGGUACCCAAGGAGGAAGCCCCGGCUAACUUCGUGCCAGCCGCCGCAGUAAAAC
rnacentral:rRNA from 1 species